rnacentral:rRNA from 1 species
AGCGAACGCUGGCGGCAGGCCUAACACAUGCAAGUCGAACGGACCCUUCGGGGUUAGCGGCGGACGGGUGAGUGACACGUGGGAACGUGCCUUUAGGUUCGGAAUAGCUCCUGGAAACGGGUGGUAAUGCCGAAUGUGCCCUUCGGGGGAAAGAUUUAUCGCCUUUAGAGCGGCCCGCGUCUGAUUAGCUUGUUGGUGGGGUAAUGGCCCACCAAGGCUACGAUCAGUAGCUGGUCUGAGAGGAUGACCAGCCACAUUGGGACUGAGACACGGCCCAAACUCCUACGGGAGGCAGCAGUGGGGAAUCUUGCGCAAUGGGCGAAAGCCUGACGCAGCCAUGCCGCGUGUAUGAUGAAGGUCUUAGGAUUGUAAAAUACUUUCACCGGUGAAGAUAAUGACUGUAGCCGGAGAAGAAGCCCCGGCUAACUUCGUGCCAGCAGCCGCGGUAAUACGAAGGGGGCUAGCGUUGCUCGGAAUUACUGGGCGUAAAGGGAGCGUAGGCGGACAUUU